rnacentral:misc_RNA from 1 species
AGGACAGUUUUAAUAUAAGUCACAAGAUUAAUAGGCUAGCUUUUGGAGAAUAUUUUCCUGGUGUUGUGAAUCCUCUUGAUGGUGUGCACUGGACACAAGAAACCCCAAGUGGAAUGUACCAGUAUUUUAUCAAGGUUGUACCUACUGUGUACACAGAUAUCAGUGGGCACACAAUUCAGUCAAACCAGUUUUCUGUGACUGAACAUUAUAGAACUGCAGAAGUGGGUCGCCUUCAAUCCCUCCCGGGAGUUUUCUUCUUUUAUGACCUUUCUCCGAUUAAGAGGAGCAUAUAUCAUUCUUGCACUUCCUAACAAAUGUCUGCGCUAUUGUUGGAGGUGUUUUCACUGUUUCUGGAAUACUGGAUUCAUUUAUAUAUCAUGGUCAAAGGGCAAUCAAGAAGAAGAUGGAAAUCGGUAAAUUUAGUUGAUAGCACGUCUGAUUGGCCUGGGUUGUUGCUGUAUUCUGUUUGGUUUGUCAGUAACUGGCUUCUCAAAUAGAAUUGGG